rnacentral:lncRNA from 1 species
CGUCGCAUCUCAAAAAAAAAAAAAAAAAAAAAAAAAAAAAAAGAACCAGGGCUUGGCACGUCCGGAGGUCCGACGGCUGCGACGCGUCAGGGCGCCCAGCGCUUCCCGGGAGCAGGGGCAGAAAGCCGGCGCGCUCCCUCCGCUCCUCGCCGCUGGGCUGACGCAACGCCCCGGCGCGCGACGGCCGCAGCCUCGCACACGAGCGUGAACCUCGACGCGGGGAGACGGUGCCAUUCACCGUUGUCAAUAUGGUGCAUAAAGAUGGGAACCAUUGACAAAACUCAAAUACCUCCUCAGAAAAACCUGCCUUGUGACCCUGUUCAUUCAAAAGGGAGAGAGUUCUUGAGUAAGUAUUCCCUGGAAAGGGAAUUUUGCAGGUGGAAGCUGCCUCCCACAGCCCUAACAAAGCUGUUUCAUUCAGUAUGUUUCACAUCGGAUUUGUGCUGCUGUCAAAGAGAAGCCAUUAUCUGAUUUGAAACAGGGAUGCUUGGCAAGACGUUUCGGGCAAUCCGGAUGGAUAUGUGUUUGCUUUUGCCCUACUUUCAUUCUACUCAGAAUUCGGAAUGAUAACCAUCUCACAGGUAGUGUGUUUCCAUUGUGUUAAAAAUGCCAUUGUAAAGUUACUUUCUAUUGUAACUUAUUAAAUAGUUAAUUGAUAUCAUGUAAUAAAAAGGAGCAAAAAACCCUCUGGUCCCUCUCA